AUUGGACGCUGGCGGCAGGCCUAACACAUGCAAGUCGAGCGGAUGAGGGUAGCUUGCUACCUGAUUCAGCGGCGGACGGGUGAGUAAUGCCUAGGAAUCGGCCUGGUAGUGGGGGACAACGUUUCGAAAGGAACGCUAAUACCGCAUACGUCCUACGGGAGAAAGUGGGGGAUCUUCGGACCUCACGCUAUCAGAUGAGCCUAGGUCGGAUUAGCUAGUUGGUGGGGUAAAGGCUCACCAAGGCGACGAUCCGUAACUGGUCUGAGAGGAUGAUCAGUCACACUGGAACUGAGACACGGUCCAGACUCCUACGGGAGGCAGCAGUGGGGAAUAUUGGACAAUGGGCGCAAGCCUGAUCCAGCCAUGCCGCGUGUGUGAAGAAGGUCUUCGGAUUGUAAAGCACUUUAAGUUGGGAGGAAGGGCAGUAAGUUAAUACCUUGCUGUCUUGACGUUACCGACAGAAUAAGCACCGGCUAACCCUGUGCCAGCAGCCG
rnacentral:rRNA from 1 species